rnacentral:rRNA from 1 species
ACCGGCGGACGGGUGCGUAACACGUAUGUAACCUGCCUCGUACUAGGGGAUAUACUGGAGAAAUUCGGGGCAACACCCUAUAUACAAUGGGAAUGGCAUCAUUUCAAUUGGAAAGGUAACGGUACGAGAUGGACAUGCGUCUGAUUAGCUAGUUGGUGAGGUAACGGCUCACCAAGGCGACGAUCAGUAACUGGUCUGAGAGGAUGAUCAGUCACACUGGCACUGAGACACGGGCCAGACUCCUACGGGAGGCAGCAGUAAGGAAUAUUGGUCAAUGGACGGAAGUCUGAACCAGCCACGCCGCGUGGAGGAAGAAGGUUCUCUGGAUUGUAAACUCCUUUUGCCUAGGGCUAAUGGUUGGCUAUAUGCCAAAUUGAAAGUACUGGGUGAAUAAGCCACGGCUAACUACGUGCCAGCAGCCGCGGUAAUACGUAGGUGGCAAGCGUUGUCCGGAUUUACUGGGUUUAAAGGGUGCGUAGGCGGUUUGAUAAGUCAGUCGUUAAAGGCAGCAGCUUAACUGUUGUACGGCGAUUGAUACUGUUAGACUUGAAUUAUAGAGAGGUUGUUGGAAUGCGUAGUGUAGCGGUGAAAUGCUCAGAUAUUACGCAGAACGCCAAUUGCGAAGGCAGAUAACUAUCUGUAGAUUGACGCUGAGGCACGAAAGUGUGGGGAGCGAACAGGAUUAGAUACCCUGGUAGUCCACACUGUAAACGAUGAUAACUAGA